rnacentral:lncRNA from 1 species
CCCGGGUCGUGCAACUUCGGGGCCCCUAGAGGGAAGCGGCUCUCGCAGACAGCUGAAGAGGACGGUACCCCCAGCUGCUCCGCGGGUCCCCCGAUGGUCACUGUUUGCCUUGUUAGGUAAUUGGCAACAUCACCAGCCUAGGCAGCGUGGCUUUGACUGUGAAAAGGCAGAUGUGCUGUUUUCUUUUUUUAAAGAUUUUAUUUAUUUAUUUGACAGAGAUAGAGACAGCCAGCGAGAGAGGGAACACAAGCAGGGGGAGAGGAAGAAGCAGGCUUCCAGCAGAGGAGCCUGAUGUGGGGCUCGAUCCCAGAACGCCGGGAUCACGCCCAGAGCCGAAGGCAGACGCUUUAACGACUGAGCCACCCCGGCGCCCCAGAUGUGCUGUGUUCAAACCCAGGCCGUGGUGGGAGAGGCCAGGGUGGAGGAGAGGAGGUGCAGGGGGAAUCCGUUCUGGCAAACCCUGGCAGCAUUUAUGCGUGUUUCAUCUUCUCCAUCCGCCGCUGAGCUCCCUGCCUCUCCCACAGACUGGAUCCCAGGGGGGAUCCCGUCAAGGCUCAGAACACGCACACACCCCUCAGUUGCCCCGUUCCUCCCCCGCGGUGGGCCUGAGCCUCAGCCCCUGGUCUGGGCCCUCGGCAGCCGCCAGCUUCCACUCCACUCUGCAGGAAGGAUCUCUCUGACUUUGCUGGCUGAGGAAACCAGCCUCUUGCCUGCACGGUUCAGUGUCCUGGGGCGGGGGGAGGGAUGGAGCCAGACCUCGGAGCCUGGGAGGAGGCAGCUCCCACCUCCGCGCAUGCGUGUCCAAGCCCCCAGGACUUGGGGUGCCCCCGCCAGCAAGAGUGCACCCCGGCUGUGAGGGAGGCUUCAGCACGGCGAUGGGAUUAGUCAUGUUCUCGGGACAGACUCUUCCUUUUUAGGGGAGGUGGACCGAGUCCUGACUGCAACCCCAGGGCCAGAACCGCACGGCCCUGUGCGAAAACGGUGCGGUUUUGACACUUAUAGCAGAGCGAUAAAUAAAGCAUGUGUUUCAGGCUCUUUCA